AACGGUCUAUACCUGCGGUACCUGCGGAGGGAUCAUUACAGAGUUGCAAAACUCCAAACCAUUGUGAACUUACCUUUGCCGUUGCUUCGGCGGGCGGCCCGGGUCCCGACCCGGCGCCCCCCGGCCCCGUCAGGGGCGCCCGCCGGAGGUAAACCAAACUCUUGAAUUGUAUGGCCUCUCUGAGUCUUCUGUACUGAAUAAGUCAAAACUUUCAGCAACGGAUCUCUAGAUCGGAAGAGC
rnacentral:misc_RNA from 1 species